GAUGAACGCUAGCUACAGGCUUAACACAUGCAAGUCGAGGGGAAACGACAUCGAAAGCUUGCUUUUGAUGGGCGUCGACCGGCGCACGGGUGAGUAACGCGUAUCCAACCUGCCCAUCACUUGGGAAUAACCUUGCGAAAGUAAGACUAAUACCCAAUGAUAUCCCACGAAGGCAUCGGAAUGGGAUUAAAGAUUUAUCGGUGAUGGAUGGGGAUGCGUCUGAUUAGCUUGUUGGCGGGGUAACGGCCCACCAAGGCAACGAUCAGUAGGGGUUCUGAGAGGAAGGUCCCCCACAUUGGAACUGAGACACGGUCCAAACUCCUACGGGAGGAAGCAGUGAGGAAUAUUGGUCAAUGGGCGAGAGCCUGAACCAGCCAAGUAGCGUGCAGGAAGACGGCCCUAUGGGUUGUAAACUGCUUUUAUAAGGGAAUAAAGUGGGUCACGUGUGACUUUUUGCAUGUACCUUAUGAAUAAGGACCGGCUAAUUCCGUG
rnacentral:rRNA from 1 species